CGGGGUAUGGCGCAGUUUGGUAGCGCGCCCGCUUUGGGAGCGGGAGGUCGCGGGUUCAAGUCCCGCUACCCCGACCA
rnacentral:tRNA from 3 species